CCUAAGAAUAAAGGUAGUAAACUUUGGAACAGCAAGUGAGAGCCUUAGCAUUUCUAUAAAUGGGUUGAACGCAACCGUGCAACAAUAUUAUGAUACUAAAGCCACAGUGCUUACAUCUAACCAAGUAAUGGAUGAGAACUCCUUCUCAGAGCCGCAGAAGGUGGUUCCACAAACAAGUUCACCAGGGAAGGUUGGCAGUAACGUGAAAGUGAUUCUCUCCCCCUAUUCAGUGACAUCAUUGGACUUGUUAAUUUGAUAAGAAGAUAGUUCCGAAGCAAGAGAUUUUGUGGCCUAUCUUUUAUGUUAUCAGGAAAUGUAUUAUUAUCAAGAGUUUGAGCACGAAGAUGUGCGAGUAUUAUACUGAGAGUCAAGGCUCAAAAAUAUGUAAUUGUUUGUGUUAAUUAAAGAAGAAUGUUAUUUCCGUUUA